CAGUCAUGCCGGUGGGGAAAUCAGCUCCCGGGGUAAUCAGGGAAGUGCACUUUCUCGCAAGGCAGGUUAGCGUCAGUUUCGCCAGUCGUAAAAAGUCCGUCAGAAGGUAGCUCCAUUCGGAGUGUUAUAGCCCUUGGUAGAUGUGAUGUCUGGGAUCGAGGAUUGCAACGGAUACCCUUCGGGGCUAGCCGCCUGAUCUCUAA
rnacentral:rRNA from 1 species